ensembl:lncRNA
CCUCACCGCUUAGGAAGGGGGUGGGGCAGCUCUCCAGGGUGCUGACUCAGGGCGGCAGCGCGGCGCCCUCACGCGAGGUUGCAGCGGCCGGAGCUCAGCCCUUCUGUCCUGCUUUAGCGGGUAGAAGCCCUCCCUGGAAGGAGGACCGGCCCCUGGUUCUUUCCAAAGCUGUCAGCACAGAAUAAUUCACCUUUCACCGCUUCGUGCUGUAAACAGCUCCCCAUCAGACCGGGAAAGUUGCUGAGGUCUGGACAGUCUGGCCACUUCCAGGGACAACUGUUCUGCCAGUUCCCAGAAGGCAGCAGAAGCGAUUUAGCUAUAUUUGGAUUAAAAGGAUGGUUCAGCCUUGGAAGAUGCCGGGGCAGGAAGAACAGUGCCUCCAUUCAGCUGUGGAGACGGCAGCCUGGCUGGUCAGCUUUCUUUCUCUUUCCCAAGGCACCAGCAGUUCCCACAAGCUGAUUCAUCUCCAGGGAGGAGAGGGAAGAGGCCGCUCGCUGUAACCAGGUGCGACCCCAGGCCGCUCGCCGUGACCAGGUGUGACUCGUGCAGCCUCUGCUGUCGUCCCCUGGGCUGGCCAGGCUUCCCGGAGCAGCCGCUGCCCUGCCAGCCACUCGAGGCCUGUGAGACCCGUCCUGGGCGCAGCGCUGGCCGCCAGGAAAACGCCGGCGAGAGCCAGCUCCCGGGCUCCCUGUGCUUAGAGACAUUGCUCCAAACUGGGCUCUGCUGCCUUUGAUCUGCUGCUGACCCUCGUGGCCCUGCUGUGCCCCGCACACCUUCAGUCCCGGCUGAGGGCACCAAGCUUCCUCUCUCUCCUGUGGAAACAGAACCUGGGAACAUGCCCAGCCUGAUGUGUACGGUACAUGAUGAUAGGUGACCCCCCACUGCAGGCCAAUGCUGCUGACGGCGCUCUUGGGAACCCGUCUGUCUCCCUGGCCUCCUCCCUGAACCUGCGAGCACACUGCACACCCAGGGCCGCGCUGUGUACUUGCCCAGCACAGCCUCAUGCCCAUCCAGGAGAGCCUGAAGCCGGUGCCAAUCUCCACGGCAGGGGAGUCACCAGCAGCCCGUCCUGCCUGGCAGAGGGUGAGGCCACCUCUCUGGUGCCAAAGUGGGAGUGAAGAGUGACUCACAGCUGUUCUCAGGUGUCCAGUUUGUGGCCAGUUCUGUGCACUGAAUAAAGGAG